rnacentral:rRNA from 1 species
GACGAACGCUGGCGGCGUGCUUAACACAUGCAAGUCGAACGGAAAGGCCCUGCUUUUGUGGGGUGCUCGAGUGGCGAACGGGUGAGUAACACGUGAGUAACCUGCCCUUGACUUUGGGAUAACUUCAGGAAACUGGGGCUAAUACCGGAUAGGAGCUCCUGCUGCAUGGUGGGGGUUGGAAAGUUUCGGCGGUUGGGGAUGGACUCGCGGCUUAUCAGCUUGUUGGUGGGGUAGUGGCUUACCAAGGCUUUGACGGGUAGCCGGCCUGAGAGGGUGACCGGCCACAUUGGGACUGGGAUACGGCCCAGACGGCUACGGGAGGCAGGAGUGGGGAAUAUUGCACAAUGGGCGGAAGCCGGAUGCAGCAACGCCGCGUGCGGGAUGACGGCCUUCGGGUUGGAAACCGCUUUCGCCUGUGACGAAGCGUGAGUGACGGUAAUGGGGAAAGAAGCACCGGCUAACUACGU